AGAGGUGAAAGCAACGUAAAUAUCCAUCAAUGGGUGAAUGGAUAAAGAAGUGUGCUCUGUAAAGACAAUGGAAUAUUAUUCAUCCUUAAAAAGGAAGGAAAUUCAGUUGCAUGUUACUCAGUGGAUGAACCUUGAGGAUAUUAUGCUAUGUGAAAUAAGCCAAUCACAAAAUACAAAAAGUGUAUGAUGCCACUUGUAAAAGGUGUCUAGAGUAAUCAAACUCACAGGAACACAAUGGUGGCUGCCAGAAGCCAGGGAAGUAGGGGUGAGGAGUUGCUUUUCAGUCGGUGCAGAGUUUCAGUCAUGCAGGAGGGGAAAGGGGGCUUAGGAAUCUGUUGCACAACACUUUAAGUGUGGUUAACAAUAUUGUACUCUACAAGUAGAAAUUGUUGGGAGGGUGAAUUUUAGGUUAUGUGGUUUUUUGCCCUAAUUUUCUAAAAUAAAAAGCAAGUUGCAGAAUCAUAUGUACAGUAAAAAGUCAAAGGAUUUUAAAACACAAAACAAUGUCACAUAGAGUUUAUUUAUAGAUGCAUACAUAUAUAGUAGAAAUAUUAAAGCAAGCAUGAGAAAAAUAAAUAGAAAUCGAUGUUGGCAAUGACCUCUGGGAAGAGAGUUGUAUGGUAUGGGUCAGGAUUCUAGAGGAAUAGUCAUGUUUUAUUUUUAUUUCUUAAGAUCUGGAGUGAAGUGGGUAAAUUUUUAAAAGAUUUGUUUUCAAGAUUUUUUUAUUUUUCCAUUUGUUUGAAAAACCUGAUCAUUUUAAAUAAAAUCCUGGAGGCUCCCUCCUGCUCCCGACCCCUGACCAUCCCGGUCACCUCCCUGCAGCCAGGACCAGCAGGGCAGGCAGUGCUGGAACCUUCUGCUGCUGUCAGAGUAGCCUCCACAUGCUGGCAUGUGCUUGUGAUUAUUGGAACUCAUUCCUGGCUUUAUUUAUGCCACAGACAAAAAUAAUUCUCCCUUCCUGGGAGACAUGUCAUGGCUCCAGAAUGUCUUGGGAGGAGAGAGCCAGAGGGUGGGACUCUUGGGGCCACACGCGUGCCUCUGCUCAUCCAGACUAUACCCAGGGCCAAGGGGGUGAUAGACAGAUGCCAGGCUCCUAUUCCUUGAGAGCGAGGUCUGAGCUGGGAUAAUCCUUAGAGUCCAAAUCAACCCGAAAUAUACAUCAACCCUGUCCAUCUCUGUUUCCCCCAAGGACCCCAGGUUAGUUGAGGUAACUCCAGGGCAAGCCCAAAUCAUACCAGGGUAUAAUUUAGGGGAGUGCAGGCUUCAGGCCAGACCAAUCCCUGAUGUUCCCUUUUUCCUCAGCAUUCCCUGCAACAGAGCCUCACCUACCUUCGGGGCACUGCUGUGACAUUUGGGGUUUCAAGAAAGGCUCAGAGUCAGCCUCACUUCAGGGAGAACCCAGGCCUGGCCUGAACCCCACGCUUCCCCUGACUCCAGGACCUAGCCUGACCCACCUUCGAGAUUUCAUCUCGGGCCAGCCCCUCCCACGCCGGGGUCCGGAGUCAGUGUGGGCUGUAACCCCCGGGGUCAGGAGUCAAUGUGGGCUGUACCCCCUGGGGUCAGGAGUCAGCGUGGGCUGUACCCCCUGGGGUCAGGAGUCAGCGUGGGCUGUACCCCCUGGGGUCAGGAGUCAGUGUGGGCUGUAUCCCGGUGGCAUCCACCUGACUACUGUGCAGGCGGCUGGCGGCAGGUCCCGGACACAUUGGGACGUGGUGUAGUUUUCAUGCUGUGGAAGGCACCCUCCUUUCCCUGGCAGAACCAAAGGCCUGGCUAAGCACCUGUGGGGCUGGUCUGGACUGCUGGGGACACUUAAAUAAUUUACUUUGAUAUUAUUUAUGCAAACUUUUAAAACAAACAGUAUAAUAUAUUUCUUAUAUAUGAUCAUUCCCAUAAACAAUAUAUUUAAAAUAUGAAAAGCACAGAAUAGAGCGAACAUAUCAGUGGUUGCCGUUGAGGAGGGGGAGAGAGGAGGGGAAUAGCAUUGAGGAAUGGUUAAAGGGGGACAUAAACUUUAUGUGUCAUGGUUUUAUGCCACAGAGAUAUGAAGCAAAAAUCACAAGUUAUUAUAUUAGUGUCUGUUUUUCCGGGUGGUGACUGCUGCAGUAUUGGCUACCAUAUUCUCUGUACUGUCUUUGUCUGGAUUUUUUUUUCCCAAUGGAGAAUUGGGAGAGCAAUGCCUUGCACUGCUGGGUGGAUUCGAUCCCCAGGCACUUCCUGACUCUCUUCAUGCUUCUCAAAAUCUCCCUGCCAUGCAGGCAGGGCCAGCUCUGCCUCACCCUUUGGGUUUUGUGAGUGACUUGGCCAAGUCUACGGCUGGUAAAUCUGGGCUGAGACUGGAACCAGGUUUCCCGGCUCCACAGUUCAGAGCUCUGUCCUGUGUCCUGGAGUCUCUAAGGUCCAGGAGACACCUCGACCUCCUGGAGGAAGAUGCUGCCACCUAAAACAGGUUUCCAGGGCAACCAGCUUCCCCAGCUGCUUGGAAAGAGGAGGGAUAUCCAGGGCUCCCUGGUGGGCUUGUCAUGCCCAGCAAGUCAGAGCCCAGUGGAGCCAAUGAGUACUGAAUGACUUCAUUCACUCAUGUAACAAGUAUCUAGUGACCUUGAGUAUGAUCCAGGCCCCCUG
rnacentral:lncRNA from 10 species